rnacentral:lncRNA from 1 species
ACGAAAUGGCGCUAGUACCAAAAGGCCCAUCGAGUUUCCCCUCAGCUGGAAUCAAAGACGAGGCAGCGAGAGAUACCUCGAGACUCGCCGCAGCGGUGCUUGGUGUCAUAAUCGCCCUCGGAGUCAUCGUCAUGGCGAUGACGG